rnacentral:rRNA from 1 species
UACAGAGGGUGCGAGCGUUGUCCGGAAUCACUGGGCGUAAAGCGCGCGUAGGUGGUUUGUUAAGUUGGAUGUGAAAGCCCCGGGCUCAACCUGGGAACUGCAUCCAAAACUGGCAAGCUAGAGUACGGUAGAGGGUGGUGGAAUUUCCUGUGUAGCGGUGAAAUGCGUAGAUAUAGGAAGGAACACCAGUGGCGAAGGCGACCACCUGGACUGAUACUGACACUGAGGUGCGAAAGCGUGGGGAGCAAACAGG